rnacentral:rRNA from 1 species
UAGGGAAUAUUGCUCAAUGGGCGAAAGCCUGAAGCAGCAACGCCGCGUGUGUGAUGAAGGCCUUCGGGUCGUAAAGCACUUUUCUGGGAGAUGAGAAAGGACAGUAUCCCAGGAAUAAGUCUCGGCUAACUACGUGCCAGCAGCCGCGGUAAAACGUAGGAGGCGAGCGUUAUCCGGAUUCACUGGGCGUAAAGCGCGUGCAGGUGGCGCGGUAAGUUGGGCGUGAAAUCUCCCGGCUCAACUGGGAGAGGUCGUCCAAUACUACCGUGCUUGAGAGCAGAAGAGGAAGAUGGAAUUCCCGGUGUAGUGGUGAAAUGCGUAGAUAUCGGGAGGAACACCAGUGGCGAAAGGCGAUCUUCUGGUCUGUUUCUGACACUCAGACGCGACAGCUAGGGUAGUAAACGGGAUUAGAGACCCCGGUAAUCCUAGCCGUAAAACGAUGUGAACUUGGCGUUGGUGGGUUAAAACUCCAUCAGUGCCGUAGC